UACCAGCACCCCGAGUUGUCGGGACGAUUAUUGGGCCUAAAGCAUCCGUAGCCUGUUCUGCAAGUCUUCCGUUAAAUCCACCUGCUUAACAGAUGGGCUGCGGAGGAUACUAUGGAGCUAGGAGGCGGGAGAGGCAAGCGGUACUUAGUGGGUAGGGGUAAAAUCCGUUGAUCCAUUGAAGACCACCAGUGGCGAAGGCGGCUUGCCAGAACGCACUCGACGGUGAGGGAUGAAAGCUGGGGGAGCAAACCGG
rnacentral:rRNA from 1 species